GACGAACGCUGGCGGCGUGCUUAACACAUGCAAGUCGUACGGUAAGGCCCUUUCGGGGGUACACGAGUGGCGAACGGGUGAGUAACACGUGAGUAACCUGCCCACAACUUUGGGAUAACGCUAGGAAACUGGUGCUAAUACUGGAUAUGUGCUCCUGCUGCAUGGUGGGGGUUGGAAAGCUCCGGCGGUUGUGGAUGGACUCGCGGCCUAUCAGCUUGUUGGUGGGGUAGUGGCCUACCAAGGCGGCGACGGGUAGCCGGCCUGAGAGGGUGACCGGCCACAUUGGGACUGAGAUACGGCCCAGACUCCUACGGGAGGCAGCAGUGGGGAAUAUUGCACAAUGGGCGCAAGCCUGAUGCAGCAACGCCGCGGGCGGGAUAACGGCCUUCGGGUUGUAAACCGCUUUCAGCAGGGACGAAGCUUUUUGUGACGGUACCUGCAGAAGAAGCACCGGCUAACUACGUG
rnacentral:rRNA from 1 species